AGAGCAUUGGGAGCUCAAACUUUUGUGCCUCUGGCCCCAGUCUCUGUAAAAUGUCAUCCACACCAGAACAGACAGAAAAGCCUAUUUUUAAAGGUGUUUCCUUCCCUUUAAUUGAAAUCUGGAGAUGUGAUACAUGCUGUUCAGAUAACGAAAUGGACAACAGCUUGCAACAUUCUACAAUCUGAAUUUUGGACAAAGGGAAUGAGUUGUGCGAUUAGCGGUACUGAUUGGAUCGGCGGCACUUUCAGCUUGGGGCCUGCACUGUAAUUGAAUAAAGCAUGUCAUUUUUCGACUGUAAUAGCCCUUUAAUUAUGUACAAUAAAAUAAAAUAAAUGACAGCAUUUGUUUAUUAUUAAUUUA